rnacentral:rRNA from 1 species
GACGAACGCUGGCGGCGUGCUUAACACAUGCAAGUCGAACGAUGAAGAAAAGAAUUGAAGCUUCGGCAGAAAUUCAUUUCGGAUUAGUGGCAGACGGGUGAGUAACGCGUGAGCAACCUACCUCUUACAAAGGGAUAGCCUCGGGAAACCGGGAUUAAUGCCAUAUAACAUUGCGACGAAGCAUUUCGAUGCAAUCAAAGCUACGGCGGUAAGAGAUGGGCUCGCGUCCCAUUAACCAGAUGGUGAGGUAACGGCUCACCAUAGUAACGAUGGGUAACCGGCCUGAGAGGGUGAACGGUCACACUGGAACUGAGACACGGUCCAGACUCCUACGGGAGGCAGCAGUGGGGAAUAUUGCACAAUGGAGGGAACUCUGAUGCAGCGACGCCGCGUGAGUGAUGAAGGAAUUCGUUUCGUAAAACUCUGUUCUAUGGGAAGAAAAGGACUGUACCAUAGGAGAAAGCUCCGGCUAAAUACGUG